AGGUCCCCGCGGUGCCGCGGGCUCCGGUGAGGAGAGCGGCCCGGGUACGGCCCAGCUCCUGUGGUGGCGUAGCCGCCCGCCAUGUUGUCCCCUUGGGACGUGCACCCACAGGGCCUGGCGCAAAGCCGCGCGUCUUCGGGAUGGAUCUGAGAGGCGCCCGGGCCGUCUCCCUCGGUCGGACGAGUGCUUAUGGGGAAACUUCAUGUUUGGCCGUGCCAGAAAUGAGCCGGUGGAAGGAGAGGCACCAAAGGAAGCCUGACGGACAGCAUCAAGGUGGGCAGCAUCGUGCCCCCAGCAAGAGGAGAGCCUUGCUGUUUGCUGCAGCGAGACCCUGGAAGCUGAGAUUGCUGUAGUCACCUGCAAGAUGUUUCCAUCCCUCAAACCGUUUUGAAAACCUCAGCUGUUUUACUCCUUGGUUGUAAAGUGGAUUGGCACCUCUCUGAAGGACAAGUAUGCGUUCUUUGAACAUUUAGUAAAAAUCAUUUGGCUCAAAACCAAGUCUAAAACACUGGAUUAUAAUUUUGACCUGAAGCAUAGAUGACAAAAUGAUAAAUUUGCAAAACUCAGGCAUUUUUCAGAGCACAUGAAUUCAAUGGAAGUAUUACCAUCAACAUCAAAGGGAGCAGGAUUGAACCUGUAAUGUAUAGCACUAAUGACUACAAUCAAAUAAACUCAUAUUGCCUGGG